CUAGCAAGACGCCAAGAAUAUGCCAUGAAAAGGCAGGAUACAAUACAGAGCACUGGUCUAUGUAGUUCUUUAGUCUACAGUUCAGUAAAUUCACCCCAUUU